rnacentral:rRNA from 1 species
GACGAACGCUGGCGGCGUGCUUAACACAUGCAAGUGGAGCGACGAAGCGGGCUUCGGCCCGUGGCAGAGCCGCGAACGGGUGAGUAACACGUGGGUAACCUGCCCUGAUGACCGGGACAACCCGAGGAAACUCGGGCUAAUACCGGAUGUGGUCACCUCUCAUGAGGGAGAUGACUAAAGAUAGCUUCGGCCUUCGCAUCAGGAUGGGCCCGGCGGCGCAUUAGUCNGUUGGGUGGGGUAACGGCCUACCAAGGCGACGAUGCGUAGCUGGUCUGAGAGGACGAUCAGCCACACUGGGACUGAGACACGGCCCAGACUCCUACGGGAGGCAGCAGUGGGGAAUCUUGCGCAAUGCGCGAAAGCGUGACGCAGCAACGCCGCGUGGGGGAAGAA